rnacentral:rRNA from 1 species
AGGGCACAGGGCGGAUGCCUUGGCACUAAGAGCCGAUGAAAGACGUGAUAAGCUGCGAAAAGCUUCGGGGAGGAGCAAAUAUCCCGUGAUCCGGAGAUGUCUGAAUGGGGAAACCCGCAUGAGCAGACCUCAUGCAUCCAUACGCCAAUCCAUAACGUAUGGAAGGGAACCCGGGGAACUGAAACAUCUAAGUACCCGGAGGAAAAGAAAGAAACAUCGAUUCCGUAAGUAGCGGCGAGCGAACGCGGAGGAGCCUAAACCGGUGUGCGUGCAUGCCGGGGUCAUGGACUGCAUUUAAGAUUCAGCGAAGUUAACAGAACGGUUUUGGGAAAGCCGGCCGGAGAGGGUGAAAGCCCCGUACGUGAAAGCAGAGCUGACUGAGCAGGAUCCGGAGUACCACGAGACACGAGGAACCUUGUGGGAAGUAAGGGGGACCACCCCCUAAGGCUAAAUACUACUUAGUGACCGAUAGCGCAUAGUACUGUGAAGGAAAGGUGAAAAGGACCCCGGGAGGGGAGUGAAAGAGAACCUGAAACCCUGUGUCUACAAGCUGUGGAAGUACUUUAUAUGUACGACCGCGUACUUUUUGUAGAACGGUCCGGCGAGUUACGCUUACUGGCAAGGUUAAGCACUUCAGGUGUGGAGCCGUAGGGAAACCAAGUCUUAAUAGGGCCAGAGUCAGUAGGAGUAGACCCGAAACCGGGUGAUCUAUCCAUGUCCAGGUUGAAGCUGCCGUAAGAGGUAGUGGAGGACCGAACCCACAUCCGUUGAAAAGGGUGGGGAUGAGGUGUGGAUAGGGGAGAAAUUCCAAUCGAACCCGGAGAUAGCUGGUUCUCCUCGAAAUAGCUUUAGGGCUAGCCUCGAUUUAGUCUUAUGGAGGUAGAGCACUGAAUUUCCGCGGGGGCGUCAAAGCUUACCAAAGAAUAUCAAACUCCGAAUGCCAUGUAGAUGAUGAACGGGAGUCAGACUGCACGAGAUAAGUUGGGCGGUCAAAAGGGAAAGAGCCCAGACCUACAGUUAAGGUCCCAAAGUGCGCGUUAAGUGGAAAAGGAUGUGGGAUUUCGAAGACAACCAGGAUGUUGGCUCAGAAGCAGCCAUACAUUCAAAGAGUGCGUAAUAGCUCACUGGUCGAGAGGUCCUGCGCCGAAAAUGUCCGGGGCUGAAACGCGCCACCGAAACUAAGGAAUCUGAAAAGAUUGGUAGAGGAGCAUUGCAUGCGGGAAGAAGCAGUACCGGAAGGAGCUGUGGACUGCAUGGAAGAGAGAAUGCCGGAAUGAGUAGCGAGAUAGAGGUGGGAAUCCUCUAGGCCGAAUAUCCAAGGUUUCCAGGGUAAAGCUGAUCUGCCCUGGGUGAGUCGGGACCUAAGGUGAGGGCGAGAGCCGUAGCCGAUGGACAACAGGUUGAUAUUCCUGUACUGCAGUAUGACAGAACUGUGGGGACACGUAAGGAGAGCGGGAGCCGGGAAUGGAAAGCCCGGUACAAGCGAGGUACCAGUAUGGUAGGAAAAUCCGCCAUGCAAUGGGAAGACGUGAUGUGGAGUGAAUUUUAGUAACGAAGCCCGUGAGCCAUGCGUCAAGAAAAGCCGCUAUCGUUCAUAUUGUACCCGUACCGUAAACCGACACAGGUGGAUGAGGAGAGAAUCCUAAGGCCGGCGGAAGAAGUAUUGCCAAGGAACUCGGCAAAAUGGCCCCGUAACUUAGGGAGAAGGGGUGCCUGCGAGAGCAGGCCGCAGAGAAUAGGCUCAAGCAACUGUUUAGCAAAAACACAGGUCUAUGCGAAACCGAAAGGUGAAGUAUAUGGGCUGACGCCUGCCCGGUGCUGGAAGGUUAAGAGGAGAGGUUAGCGUAAGCGAAGCUUUGAAUUUAAGCCCCAGUAAACGGCGGCCGUAACUAUAACGGUCCUAAGGUAGCGAAAUUCCUUGUCGGGUAAGUUCCGACCCGCACGAAAGGCGUAAUGAUUUGAGCGCUGUCUCGGCAAUACAUCCGGUGAAAUUGAAGUGCCAGUGAAGAUGCUGGCUACCCGCGCCAGGACGGAAAGACCCCAUGGAGCUUUACUCCAGUUUGGCACUGGGGUCCGGUGUUGCAUGUACAGGAUAGGUGGGAGGCUGAGAAACGGUAACGUCAGUUGCCGCGGAGCCGCUGUUGGGAUACCACCCUUGUGAUAUUGGGCUUCUAACCAGCCGCCGUAAUCCGGCGGUGGGACAAUGCCAGGCGGGGAGUUUGACUGGGGCGGUCGCCUCCGAAAGGGUAUCGGAGGCGCCCAAAGGUUCCCUCAGAAUGGACGGAAACCAUUCGAAGAGUGCAAAGGCAGAAGGGAGCUUGACUGCGACACCGACGGGUGGAGCAGGU